rnacentral:rRNA from 1 species
UACGUAGGGUGCAGGCGUUUAAUCGGAAUUACUGGGCGUAAAGCGUGCGCAGGCGGUCUGCUAAGAGAGAUGUGAAAUCCCCGGGCUUAACCUGGGAACUGCGUUUCUAACUGGCAGGCUUGAGUGUGGCAGAGGGGGGGUGGAAUUCCACGUGUAGCAGUGAAAUGCGUAGAGAUGUGGAGGAAUACCGAUGGCGAAGGCAGCCUCCUGGGCCAACAC